GCGACAUCUUUCCGAACCUCUCCAGCGGUCGAGCUUCCGCAAUGUUCUCAAGUUCUGCCGAUGGAUAAACUCCCGCAGCUCCUUCCACAAGUGUCGACCGGAUUCUCCUGACGAACGAACUCCUAUCGCAUCUCCCGGGCUUCUCCAACGAUCUUUCCCAACAGGAUUCGAUCGACUCCAAUCCGAAUUUUUUCCAGAACUUCAUCAGUGGCCGAACUUUCCCAACAACAGAUCUCCACAACG
rnacentral:lncRNA from 1 species